rnacentral:rRNA from 1 species
AUUGAACGCUGGCGGCAGGCCUAACACAUGCAAGACGAACGAGUGGCGGACGGGUGAGUAAUGUCUGGGAAACGGCCCGAUGGAGGGGGAUAACUAAUGGAAACGGUAGCUAAUACCGCAUACUCUCGGAUGUGCCCAGAUGGGAUUAGCUAGUCGGUGGGGUAACGGCUCACCUAGGCGACGAUCCCUAGAUGGUCGGGUAGGAUGACGGGCCACACUGGAACUGAGACACGGUCCAGACUCCUACGGAAGGCUGCAGUGGGGAACAUUGCACAGUGGGCACAACCCGGAUGCAGCAAUGCCGCGUGGAUGAAGAAGGCCUUCGGGUUGUAAAGUACUUUCAGCGUGGAGGCGUUACCCGCUGAAGAAGCACCGGCUAACUCCGUGCCAGCCGCCGCGGUAAUUC